CUCAAGCUCGAUGACAUUGAGGAGUUCGAGAACAUUCGAAAGGACCUGGAGGGAGAGAUAACUUCUGCAUGAAAUUAUUGCUGUUCAACCUUUCUGAUAGGCUGGAAGCCAAAUUCUGGCUUGUUCCUGGAAAAUUGGACUGCAGAAAGCUUACCUGAUUUUUUUUUUUUAAAUAAAUAUAUUUUUGGAAAAAAGACUCCAGACCCAGAACACUUGCAGUUGAUCCACUGGACUUUGGCUUGUUUAGUCAGUGUCUGGUGACUGCCGACCAUCCCGGAAGCAGCAGCAAUCCCAGAUGCAUGUGCUCGGGCUGCAGCCCAGCACUUGGGAUGCUGAAGUAGGAAUCUCGAGAGUUGGAAGCUACUCUGAGCUACAGAGCAAAACCGUUUCAGAAUGUC
rnacentral:lncRNA from 1 species